AUUGAACGCUGGCGGCAGGCCUAACACAUGCAAGUCGAACGGUAACAGGAAGAAGCUUGCUUCUUUGCCGACGAGUGGCGGACGGGUGAGUAAUGUCUGGGAAACUGCCUGAUGGAGGGGGAUAACUACUGGAAACGGUAGCUAAUACCGCAUAACGUCGCAAGACCAAAAAGGGGGACCUUCGGGCCUCUUGCCAUCGGAUGUGCCCAGAUGGGAUUAGCUAGUAGGUGGGGUAACGGCUCACCUAGGCGACGAUCCCUAGCUGGUCUGAGAGGAUGACCAGCCACACUGGAACUGAGACACGGUCCAGACUCCUACGGGAGGCAGCAGUGGGGAAUAUUGCACAAUGGGCGCAAGCCUGAUGCAGCCAUGCCGCGUGUAUGAAGAAGGCCUUCGGGUUGUAAAGUACUUUCAGCGGGGAGGAAGGGAGUAAAGUUAAUACCUUUGCUCAUUGACGUUACCCGCAGAAGAAGCACCGGCUAACUCCGUG
rnacentral:rRNA from 1 species